GACGAACGCUGGCGGCGUGCUUAACACAUGCAAGUCGAACGGAAAGGCCCUGCUUUUGUUGGGUGCUCGAGUGGCGAACGGGUGAGUAACACGUGAGUAACCUGCCCUUGACUUUGGGAUAACUUCAGGAAACUGGGGCUAUUAUCGGAUAUGAGCUCCUGCUGCAUGGUGUGGGUUGGAAAGUUUCGGCGGUUGUGGAUGUACUCGCGGCUUAUCAGCUUGUUGGUGUGGUAGUGGCUUACCAAGGCUUUGACGGGUAGCCGGCCUGAGAGGGUGACCGGCCACAAUGGGACUGAGAGACGGACCAGAAUCCUACGGGAGGCAGCAGGGGAGAAUAUUGCACAAUGGGCGGAAGCCUGAUGCAGAAACGCCGCGUGCGGGAUAACGGCCUUCGGGGUGUAAACAGAUUUGGCAUGAGACGAAGAGUGAGUGACGGUAAUGGGUAAAGAAGCAACGGCUAACUACGUG
rnacentral:rRNA from 1 species